UACAGAGGGUGCGAGCGUUGUCCGGAAUCACUGGGCGUAAAGGGCGCGUAGGUGGUUGGGGAAGCGUGUGGUGAAAGCCCGGGGCUCAACCCCGGGUCGGCCAUGCGAACUGCCCGACUGGAGCACGGUAGAGGCCAAUGGAAUUCCGGGUGUAGCGGUGGAAUGCGUAGAGAUCCGGAAGAACACCGGUGGCGAAGGCGGUUGGCUGGGCCGUGGCUGACACUGAGGCGCGACAGCGUGGGGAGCAAACAGG
rnacentral:rRNA from 1 species